CUCUUUCCUUCCUCGCCGGUGAUCUUUUCAACAGAUCAAGAAGAGAGAGAGCGAACAGCAGAUUCACGAACACGAACAGAUCCUUGAAUUGAAAGGGGAGCAGGCGUGUGCCGACGUGCGAUGUCGCGUGGUCAACGCCCGCUCCUGAUUUUCUUUUUUCCUUUUUCUGUCCGGGUUUUGAAUAUUUCGCAAUUUCUUCGCAUUGACUUAACGGGAUAAUGACAUAAAUGAUCCAUUGACUUUAAUCUAACGUGUAAUGUGAUUCCCGAAUUUUACUUCAA